rnacentral:rRNA from 1 species
AUUGAACGCUGGCGGCAGGCCUAACACAUGCAAGUCGAGCGGAGCGGCGGACGGGUGAGUAAUGCCUAGGAAUCUGCCUGGUAGUGGGGGAUAACGUACGGAAACGGGCGCUAAUACCGCAUACUAUCAGAUGAGCCUAGGGCGGAUUAGCUAGUUGGUGGGGUAAAGGCCUACCAAGGCGACGAUCCGUAACUGGUCUGAGGGGAGGAUCAGACACAUUGGAAUUGAGACACGGUCCAGACUCCUCCGGGAGGAAGCAGUGGGAAAUAUUGGACAAUGGGCGAAGGCCUGCUCCAGCAAUGCCGCGGGUGUGAAGAGGGUCUUCGGAUUGUAAAGCCCUUUAAGUUGGGAGGCGUUACCAACAGAAUAAGCACCGGCUAACUUCGUGCCAGCAGCCGCGGUAAUUC